AGAGUUUGAUCCUGGCUCAGAGCGAACGCUGGCGGCAGGCUUAACACAUGCAAGUCGAACGGGCGCAGCAAUGCGUCAGUGGCAGACGGGUGAGUAACACGUGGGAACGUGCCUUUCGGUUCGGAACAACUGAGGGAAACUUCAGCUAAUACCGGAUAAGCCCGCAAGGGGAAAGAUUUAUCGCCGAAAGAUCGGCCCGCGUCUGAUUAGCUAGUUGGUGGGGUAAUGGCCCACCAAGGCGACGAUCAGUAGCUGGUCUGAGAGGAUGAUCAGCCACACUGGGACUGAGACACGGCCCAGACUCCUACGGGAGGCAGCAGUGGGGAAUAUUGGACAAUGGGGGAAACCCUGAUCCAGCCAUGCCGCGUGAGUGAUGAAGGCCCUAGGGUUGUAAAGCUCUUUCGGUGGGGAAGAUAAUGACGGUACCCACAGAAGAAGCCCCGGCUAACUUCGUGCCAGCAGCCGCGGUAAUACGAAGGGGGCUAGCGUUGCUCGGAAUCACUGGGCGUAAAGCGCACGUAGGCGGCUUUCUAAGUCAGGGGUGAUAUGACCUU
rnacentral:rRNA from 1 species